GACGAACGCUGGCGGCGUGCCUAAUACAUGCAAGUAGAACGCUGAAGGAGGAGCUUGCUUCUCUGGAUGAGUUGCGAACGGGUGAGUAACGCGUAGGUAACCUGCCUGGUAGCGGGGGAUAACUAUUGGAAACGAUAGCUAAUACCGCAUAAUAGUAGAUGUCGCAUGACAUUUGCUUAAAAGGUGCAAUUGCAUCACUACCAGAUGGACCUGCGUUGUAUUAGCUAGUUGGUGAGGUAACGGCUCACCAAGGCAACGAUACAUAGCCGACCUGGGAAGGUGGUCGGCCACACUGGGACUGGGACACGGCCCAGGCUCCUAACGGAAGCAGCAGUAGGGAAUCUUCGGCAAUGGACGGAAGUCUGACCGAGCAACGCCGCGUGAGGGAAGGAGGUUUUCGGAUCGUAAAGCUCUGUUGUAAGGGGAGAACGAGUGUGAGAGUGGAAAGUUCACACUGUGACGGUAUCUUACCAGAAAGCGACGGCUAACUACGUG
rnacentral:rRNA from 1 species